UACGUAGGUGGCAAGCGUUAUCCGGAUUUACUGGGUGUAAAGGGCGUGUAGGCGGGAAAGCAAGUCAGAUGUGAAAACCACGGGCUCAACCUGUGGCCUGCAUUUCAAACUGUUUUUCUUGAGUACUGGAGAGGCAGACGGAAUUCCUCGUGUAGCGGUGAAAUGCGUAGAUAUGAGGAGGAACACCAGUGGCGAAGGCGGUCUGCUGGACAGCAACUGACGCUGAGGCGCGAAAGCGUGGGGAGCAAACAGG
rnacentral:rRNA from 1 species